UCCCGGCAGUCCAAGUCGCAGCCAACAUUAUUGGGUCUAAAACAUCCGUAGCUUGUUUAUUAAGUUCUUUGUGAAAUCCUAUGUCUCAAGCAUGGGGCUUGCGGAGAAUACUGAUAAGCUAGAGACCGGAAGAUGCAAGGAGUACACUUGAGGUAGUGGUAAAAUACGUUAAUCUCAGGUGGACUACCAAUUGGCGAAGGCACCUUGCAAGUACGGAUCUGACAGUGAGGGAUGAAGGCCAGGGGCGCAAAAU
rnacentral:rRNA from 1 species